UACGAAGGGGGCUAGCGUUGCUCGGAAUCACUGGGCGUAAAGGGUGCGUAGGCGGGUCUUUAAGUCAGGGGUGAAAUCCUGGAGCUCAACUCCAGAACUGCCUUUGAUACUGAGGAUCUUGAGUUCGGGAGAGGUGAGUGGAACUGCGAGUGUAGAGGUGAAAAUUCGUAGAUAUUCGCAAGAACACCAGUGGCGAAGGCGGCUCUCUGGUACGUGACUGACGCUGAGGAGCGAAAGCGUGGGGAGCGAACAGG
rnacentral:rRNA from 1 species